AUGACCAUGUCAUGUUAAAACACUAGUUCUUGUCUGACCACCAAAGUUAAGCAACAUUGAGCUUGGUCAGUACCUAGAUGGGUGACAACUUGGGAAUAGUAGGUGUUGUA